rnacentral:rRNA from 1 species
GCUUACGGCACACCACCCUGAACACGCCCGAUCUCGUCCGAUCUCGGAAGCUAAGCAGGUCGGGCCUGGUUAGUACUUGAUUGGAACCGCCUGGAAUACCAGGUGCUGUAAGUU